rnacentral:lncRNA from 1 species
AUCAAACGCAUCUUGGACAGAAAACUAGCGUUCAGAAUCUCUGGAUAAAACUUCUUCUGAACCAAUUCUGGGUGGAAUUUCUUUAAGUUCUGAACAACAUGACCUUGAUGCAGAAGGUCAGACAACAACCUAGGAUAAACUAUAGUAGUUUUCCUCUGAGAUUUACUUGCAAGAAUGGCUUCACAAAUCCUUUCAAAAAAGUAGUCUCCAAGAUUAACCUUCUUUCCUGUCAGAAGGAAAUACAGCAGAUGACGAUGAGUCCAGGAGAUUGUAUCAGUCCCACCAACCCUUGGACUGAUAGCUGCUAAGAUGAUCUUGAAAAGAACUCUACAUUCAUCAGU